UUGAAGGAAGGAAUAUGGUAGUGUCUUUGUAUGGCUGUACAGGGGAGACAUGAGAAUAUUCUCUAGAAGUCAGGAAGCAAGUGACACAAUUGAUGAACUAGUGGAUUUACAGACGGAACACUCUACUUAGUUAGAGGCGAACAGAAUAAUGGGAUUCAAAAUGGCUAAGCUACUGAUAGCAGGCAAGGGACAGGCAGGAGCAGAAGACUGCACGCAUAUACGGGAGGGUGAACUAACCACUCUUAUCUAGCAAUGGAGAAGGGAGUCCUGCAGCUCCUCUGAUGUCUUCAGCAUUGCCACUACAUGCAAAAAGGAAAAACAGCUGUUCCCUUUGGUAGUAGUCUGCACUGCAAGCAUUGAACCUGUGUUCUUAGGCCUGGGCCUACUCUGUGUGUGUGAGGAAGGAAGACCUGACCUCUGCCUUGCUCUGCAGCUCAACAUCUGUCAAAGCAUCAGCAGGACAGAACAUGUGCCGACAGCAAAAUGGACCACCUGCCAGCACUUUUUCAAUAACAUUUUUUUCCUUUUUAAAUAUAGAUUGUGAGUUUAGCAUUGUUUCAAGGUCUAAGCGCAUCACAUUGUAAAAUAAACUAUUUAAAACGGUAAAAGCUUUUAGGCCUCUGAAAUCUUGAAUAACGAUUUGAAGCAUAGAUAGAAUACUCUGCUACAUACAUUUUCUAGCCUCUAACAGUUUAUAGUGGACAGAGAUCAUAUGAAGUAGAAUGGCUGUAGUUGGAUGUAUACAUUUAUUUAUUUAUCCAACAAGAUAAGUAUCUACAGCAGUUUACAUAACAUUUUUAUAGUUUAUUAGAUCAUAUUUGGUUACCCCACAAAUGAGAGGAUGAGGAUGAUUAAGAUGAUAUAACAACACUCACAAAAGAAACCAAUGAUCUUAUUACUGCAAAUGCAAAAAGACCCCUCUUUUUUUCUCUUUCUUUUCUGGACUUAUCUUAAUCCUCUGCCACUAUCUGUGGGAGUAAAACGAGGCUCAUUCUCAGGCUCACUAACCUUCUCCAUGUACUCAUUUCCCUUGAAAAACUUGAUCAUCAGUAUUCAAAUACCAUCUCUAUGCUGAUGAUUUCCCCUCCGAACCUACACUUUCCACAACUAAAGUCUCACUUGUAGCCUAAGAAUUAAUAGCCGCUUCCAUCCAGGUCCGCUUUUUCGUCAUUACAAUUGUCUACACAGUCAUUUAAUCUCCCCAUAUCCAAGAACUCGCCAUAUUCUAGAGCUCUCACCCUUUUAUUAAAGAAGUUGUUUGUAGACGGAUCAAUCUAAAUCAGUAAUCAACCUUAGCUAAACUUCUCAGUCAGUUCCUACGCUUGAUCCCCAUACCAUUCAGUAUCAAUUUACAAUAUGAAGUAUUAUUUGCACAAAAGUCAUAUUGGCAGAAAUAUGCAUAUUCCGAUUAGCAGUGUUAUCAAAGCCUGUUUUCUGUUAAGAUUUUAUAACUUGAACAGAAUUUAUUUCAGUAAAAUCAUAGCAAAUCACAUUUUUUGUAUAAAAUUGUAUGUUUUUUCUUUUUCUUCAUUAUAUUUAACAAGAUGGGUCGAUUUAUCAAUGCCCCUGUUUCCGCGCGAGCCUGAAGUCUCGCCGGAAACAGCAGUUAUGAAGCAGCGGUCUUAAGAUCGCUGCUCCUUAACUGGUCCGCCUGCUCUGAGCUGCGGACAGCUAUCAACCCGAUCAGAUAUGAUCAGGUUAAUUGACAGCCCCUGUGCCGCGAAUCUGCAGGGGGGCGGCAUUGCACAAACAGUUCACCAGAACUGCUUGAGCAAUGUUAAAUGCUGACAGCGUAUGCUGUCGGCAUUCAGUGAUGUCUGGCGGACAUGAUACUCACAGCAUAUUAUGUCGGACAGACAUUGUUAAAUCAGCCCCCAUAUGUUCUUUUUUUUUCCCUUUUUUUAUCGUCAUAACAUUUUGACAAAUGUAAUACUAUACGCAUGAGCACAUUCCUUGUCCAGAGAUAAUGGAUAAUAUGACCUUAUACUGUGUUGGUAUUUUGAUUUUUGUAAUCUGUUAUAUUUUAUGUUUCUGUAUUAUUUUCCACACUCCAUGCUGGAAGUAUUGUAUGCAAAGUAUUAAUGUGUCUUCUGUUUGAAAUAAAAAGUCUAAAAAGACUGUUUCAAGUG